GAUGGCCUGGCGCGCGGCAUCCGCGAGG
rnacentral:piRNA from 1 species